GUCCACGCCGUAAACGUUGGGCGCUAGGUGUGGGGACCUAUCCACGGUCUCCGUGCCGCAGCUAACGCAUUAAGCGCCCCGCCUGGGGAGUACGGCCGCAAGGCUAAAACUCAAAGGAAUUGACGGGGGCCCGCACAAGCAGCGGAGCAUGUGGCUUAAUUCGACGCAACGCGAAGAACCUUACCAGGGUUUGACAUGUAGAGAAAACUUCUGGAGACAGGAGGUCCUUAGGGGCUCUACACAGGUGGUGCAUGGCUGUCGU
rnacentral:rRNA from 1 species